CGGGGAAAAUGCUCAAAUGCAUGAGACGAACACGUAUGCAAUGCAAUGCACAUGAUGACAUGAUAAAAUGCAACACACAAUCAAAUGACAUGGCAAAGACGGUGAAUAAUUGGCAGACUCUUGGCGCAUCGAAUCCGGGGCGUUACAAUGGGAUAACAUUAUACAAUUCCGGUCCUAUUGUGUUGCCCUUCGGGAUUGGAGUAAUGAUUAAUAGGGACAGUCGAGGGCAUUCGUAUUUCAUUGUCAGAGGUGAAAUUAUUGGAUUUAUGGAAGACGAACAACUAUGAAAGCAUUUGCCUAGGAAGUUUUCAUUAAUCAAGAACAAAAGUUGGGGGCUCGAGGACGAUCAGAUAUUGUCCUAGUCUAAACCAUAAACGAUGCCGACCAGGGAUCGGCGGAUGUUGCUUAUAGGACUCCGCUGGCACCUUAUGAGAAAUCAAAUUCUCUAGGAUCCG
rnacentral:rRNA from 1 species